CAAAAAUGCACAUACUGUGAGCUCGAUGAGUAGGGCGGGACACGUGGUAUCCUGUCUGAAUAUGGGGGGACCAUCCUCCAAGGCUAAAUACUCCUGACUGACCGAUAGUGAACCAGUACCGUGAGGGAAAGGCGAAAAGAACCCCGGCGAGGGGAGUGAAAAAGAACCUGAAACCGUGUACGUACAAGCAGUGGGAGCACAGAGCAAUCUGUGUGACUGCGUACCUUUUGUAUAAUGGGUCAGCGACUUAUAUUCUGUAGCAAGGUUAACCGAAUAGGGGAGCCGAAGGGAAACCGAGUCUUAACUGGGCGUUAAGUUGCAGGGUAUAGACCCGAAACCCGGUGAUCUAGCCAUGGGCAGGUUGAAGGUUGGGUAACACUAACUGGAGGACCGAACCGACUAAUGUUGAAAAAUUAGCGGAUGACUUGUGGCUGGGGGUGAAAGGCCAAUCAAACCGGGAGAUAGCUGGUUCUCCCCGAAAGCUAUUUAGGUAGCGCCUCGUGAAUUCAUCUCCGGGGGUAGAGCACUGUUUCGGCAAGGGGGUCAUCCCGACUUACCAACCCGAUGCAAACUGCGAAUACCGGAGAAUGUUAUCACGGGAGACACACGGCGGGUGCUAACGUCCGUCGUGAAGAGGGAAACAACCCAGACCGCCAGCUAAGGUCCCAAAGUCAUGGUUAAGUGGGAAACGAUGUGGGAAGGCCCAGACAGCCAGGAUGUUGGCUUAGAAGCAGCCAUCAUUUAAAGAAAGCGUAAUAGCUCACUGGUCGAGUCGGCCUGCGCGGAAGAUGUAACGGGGCUAAACCAUGCACCGAAGCUGCGGCAGCGACGCUUAUGCGUUGUUGGGUAGGGGAGCGUUCUGUAAGCCUGUGAAGGUGUACUGUGAGGUAUGCUGGAGGUAUCAGAAGUGCGAAUGCUGACAUAAGUAACGAUAAAGCGGGUGAAAAGCCCGCUCGCCGGAAGACCAAGGGUUCCUGUCCAACGUUAAUCGGGGCAGGGUGAGUCGACCCCUAAGGCGAGGCCGAAAGGCGUAGUCGAUGGGAAACAGGUUAAUAUUCCUGUACUUGGUGUUACUGCGAAGGGGGGACGGAGAAGGCUAUGUUGGCCGGGCGACGGUUGUCCCGGUUUAAGCGUGUAGGCUGGUUUUCCAGGCAAAUCCGGAAAAUCAAGGCUGAGGCGUGAUGACGAGGCACUACGGUGCUGAAGCAACAAAUGCCCUGCUUCCAGGAAAAGCCUCUAAGCAUCAGGUAACAUCAAAUCGUACCCCAAACCGACACAGGUGGUCAGGUAGAGAAUACCAAGGCGCUUGAGAGAACUCGGGUGAAGGAACUAGGCAAAAUGGUGCCGUAACUUCGGGAGAAGG
rnacentral:rRNA from 1 species